GUGAGUCAUCGAAUCUUUGAACGCACAUUGCGCCCUUCGGUAUUCCGUUGGGCAUGCCUGUUCGAGCGUCAUUAGAAACUUCAAGCUCAGCUUGGUGUUGGGUGCUUGUCCCCGCCCGCGGCGGACUCACCUCAAAUGCAUUGGCGGCCGGUAUGUUGGCUACAGCGCAGUACAACGCGUCUGGCGUCUUGAUAUACUGGUCCUCCAGAAGCCCUUCUUUGACUUGACCUCGGAUCAGGUAGGGAUACCCGCUGAACUUAAGCAUAUCAAUAAGCGGAGGA
rnacentral:misc_RNA from 1 species